UAGUCGUACGAGUUCAUACUCGUGGCGAAUAGCUCAGUAACACGUGGCCAAACUACCCUUCGGAGCACGAUACCCUCGGGAAACUGAGGCUAAUAGUGCAUACCACAAUCCAGCUGGAAUGAGGAUUGUGCCAAACGCUCCGGCGCCGAAGGAUGUGGCUGCGGCCGAUUAGGUAGACGGUGGGGUAACGGCCCACCGUGCCAAUAAUCGGUACGGGUCAUGAGAGUGAGAACCCGGAGACGGAAUCUGAGACAAGAUUCCGGGCCCUACGGGGCGCAGCAGGCGCGAAACCUUUACACUGCACGCCAGUGCGAUAAGGGAAUCCCAAGUGCGCAGGCAUAGAGCCUGCGCUUUUGUACACCGUAGGGAGGUGUACGAAUAAGGGCUGGGCAAGACCGGUGCCAGCCGCCGCGGUAAUACCGGCAGCCCGAGUGAUGGCCGAUCUUAUUGGGCCUAAAGCGUCCGUAGCUGGCCGCGCAAGUCUAUCGGAAAAUCCACCCGCUCAACGGGUGGGCGUCCGGUAGAAACUGCGUGGCUUGGGACCGGAAGGC
rnacentral:rRNA from 1 species